GAUGAACGCUAGCUACAGGCUUAACACAUGCAAGUCGAGGGGCAGCAUGAAAGGAACUUCGGUUCUUUUUGAUGGCGACCGGCGCACGGGUGCGUAACGCGUAUCGAACCUGCCUCAUACUCGGGGAUAGCCUUGCGAAAGUAAGAUUAAUACCCGGCGGUCUCGGCUGGCCGCAUGACUGUCCGAGUGACGAUUUAUCGGUGUGAGAGGGCGAUGCGUCCCAUUAGCUAGUUGGUGAGGUAACGGCUCACCAAGGCAUCGAUGGGUAGGGGUUCUGAGAGGAAGGUCCCCCACAUUGGAACUGAGACACGGUCCAAACUCCUACGGGAGGCAGCAGUGAGGAAUAUUGGUCAAUGGACGAAAGUCUGAACCAGCCAAGUAGCGUGCAGGACGACGGCCCUCUGGGUUGUAAACUGCUUUUAGUUGGGAAUAAAAAGAGGGACGUGUCCCUUAUUGUAUGUACCAUCAGAAAAAGGACCGGCUAAUUCCGUGCCAGCAGCCGCGGUAA
rnacentral:rRNA from 1 species